AAGCACAGGACUGGUUCGUGACAUAGUGAGAUAUAUCCACAUUGCUUUAUUGUGCGUUCAAGAAAAUGUGGCAGAUAGACCAACUAUGGCUGCAGUAGUUCUCAUGCUCAGUAGCCUCUCUUUGAGUCUUCCAGUUCCUUCAGGGCCUGCAUAUUAUAUGCACAAUGAUAUUAGCGCAGAGGCUUCGCUUAUUCAAGAAAACAAUUCAAGAAUGUCAGAAUCUAAAGAACUAGCCAAAAGUAAAUCUCUCUCUUCCUCACGAAAUGAGGCGUCCAUAACUGAGUUAUAUCCUCGAUAACAUCCUUAGACAUAAUAGCCUUUUUGUUAGUUUUCUCAUUUACUUUGUUAUUCUGUUCAAACUCCAAUUAGUUUGGGAUUGCGAUUGAUUAAUUAAGGAUUUUUUGUUUUAUCACAAAGUUUAUAUUUGUUUCGUAGGUAUUACUCGAGUAAAUUUCAUGAGUGGUUAUUCAUUUUUGUGUUCAUUACCCAAAAGUUAAUUUUUUUUUUGUUACGUAAAAGUCAUUCAACUUUGUGUUCAUUAUUCAAAAGUCAUUUUUCUUUCUUUUGUUACACAAAAAUCAUUUUACUAUUAUCUAGCUAUCACAAUAGUCACUUUGACAGAUUUUAUAAAAGUUUUACCUGAAAAGUCUAUUAUGCCCUUGACAUUAUAAAUCUUCCCAUUUAUGUAAUACCUUCUAUAUUAUAUUAUAUAAUAUAAUAUACCUAGAUUAAUUACUUAUAAUUAAAAUAAAUUUUAUAUUAUUUCAUUGAUUAUUUUUAUUAUAUAUUUGUACAUUUAGUUCUUCCUUAACAUUAAUUUUCAAGAUAUAUAGAUAGCAUUAUUAAAUUUGUCUGUAAUAUUACUGUAAACAAAUCUCAAGUAAAUGUUCUUAACCAUGCCUAAUGAAAUAUUUUUAAUGAAAAUUAUAAAAUCAAAACUCACAGAUUUAUCAGUCAAGCCAUAUUCGUUACUCUGAUAAAUAAAAUAUCCGCAUUUAGAACACUCACACAUCGAUGAGUACUUUUAAAGAAAUAAUAUUAAUAGAUAAAGCCUUAAAAAACUUAAUAUUAAACACAAAUAUUUUUGAUUUUUUUAAAAAAUAUAUUAACUAAAAAAAACUCAUUUGUUAAAUAAAUUUAUUUUUAUUAUUUAAAAUAAAUAUUAAAAGUAAUUUUUUUUUAUUGUUUUUAUAUUUUAAAAUAUGUUCAUGUUUGAAUAUGAUUAAGCAAAUUGAGUUCCAUGAGAAAAUUAACUGUACUGAUAUAUUAUAAAAAGAAUAAAUAAAAUAAUAUACGUUUUUAAUUAUAAGUAAAAUAUAUAGGGAAAACUAUAUUAUAUAGUAUAUAAGGUAUUACCUAAAUGAGAGGAUUUAUAAUGCUAAGGGAAUAAUAGAUUUUUCAAGUAAAGUAUUAUAAAAUCUGGCCAAUUUAACUAUUGUGAUAAAUAGAGUAAAGUAAAAUAAAUUUUAUGUAACAAAAGAAAGAAAAAUGACUUUUGGGAUAAUGAACACAAAGUUGAAUGACCUUUACGUAACAAAAAAAAAUUGGGGUAAUGAAUACAAAGCUGAAUGAGUAAUCUCCAAUUACUGUCAAUUACAAGAAAGUAUAUAUGCUAGCUUUUAAGCAGUAAGAUAUUUUCAACUAUACCUGUUUAACGGGUCGGGUUGACCUGGUUCCGGAUCGGCCCAAACCGAUAUUAAACCGGACCAGCCCGGACCGGUGGUAAGGGGUGGGUAGGGCUGGGUUUAGGGGGUAAGGGGUUAAGACGUUUACAUUUUCCUUACCGGUUAACCGGACCGGUCAAAAUCGGUCAAGAAAAAUUAUUAUUGAACUGGUUAACCGGACCGGUCCAGACCGGUUCAACGGCUAUUUUCUGAAUAUAUUUUUUUUUUAAAUUCAUUUGAACGUUGGCAACAGCCACCUUCCAAUUUUAUAAUCUUAAUAAAAAAGUAUUGUGUUUGUCUUUUGAUAAUGCUUCUAAUAAUAAUGCUGCUAUUUCAAUAUUAAGACUGCAUUUGAAACCACUAGUAGACGAAAUUUUUCAUGUUAGGUGUGCAUGCCAUAUUUAUAAUUUAAUUGUUAAAAGUGACCUUGAUUUAUUUUCGACUGAGAUUACUCAUGUUAGAAGAGCAGUUGGUGUUAUUCAAGGAAAUAAUAGACAAUCUAGAAUUAGGGAAUUUAAGAUUAAGUGUACGGAGCAUAACCUUAACCCGAGAUUCAUGCCAGAUGAAAAUGUUACUAGAUGGAAUUAUACAUACUUAUUAUUAAAAUGUUGCUACAAAUAUAGAUUGCCGAUAACUAAAGUUGCUAAUGCGCAUUGUACUAAUCCAAACCGUAUGUUAACAACUAAUACUUUGGAGGCCAUUAAUGAUGUUGUUCAACUUUUACAUAAAAUUUAUACAGCUAUUGUUGAGUUUUCUAGAGCAUAUUACCCUACUAUUACUAUGGCUUUAGUACAUAUAGCUGAAGUUUCUUUUCUACUCUCUGAAUUUAAGAAGAAAGAAAAUUAUAAGGAUGUUGUUGAAAAAAUGCAAGCCAAAUUCAAAAAAUUAUUUCUUUCCAAUUCCUCCAAUUUACUUAAUUGGUGAUGUUUUAAAUCCUUUUAUAAAGAUGUCUAAUUGUCACUAAUUAAUCAAUAUUUUAUAUAGUUAUAUGGAGAUUGGACCAACUGAAACCUCAGAUAUAUAUAUUGUNNNNNNNNNNNNNNNNNNNNNNNNNAGGAACAUUAAUGAACUUCAAUUCUACUUGCAAAAGAAAUCAGAGACUCACACAAAGGAAUUUUCACUGUUGGGAUGGUGGCAUGAGAAUGAAAAGCAAUUUCAUGUUCUUUUCGCUAUGGCUCGGGACUUGCUGAAUAUGCCAAUUUUAACUGUUGCAUCAGAGUGUGCAUUUAGUCAAGCAAGACAACAACUAAGAGACACCCGUCACUUAUUGGGAAGCAAUGCUUUGGAAAUUUUAAUAUGUUUGAGAGAUUGGAUUAGAUCGGAACGAAGAAAUUAGGGACGUGAAGAUGUUGAUAAACCAGAAGACGAAGAACUUGGAGAUAUAUUAACAUAUGGUCACCCAUCUGAAUUUAACACUCCAGAAGAUGGCCAAGAAAUUCAUAUUGAUUAUGAAGAACUUACUAAGGCAAUGCAAAACCUUUGAAGUUCUGGAUUUAUAUUUAAUAAUUAAACUUUGAAUUUACUCUUUUUCGUUAAUUUAGUUGUUGUUAAAUAUAAACUCUAAUUUGCAAGCUUGAAAUAAAAAAGAACUUGCAAAUUAUAAGUGCAAUUUUUUUCCAUCUUCAUUGUAUUCUAUUAUCUUAAAUUCUUAAUGAAAUAUUCAAAUAUAAAGAUUUUAAAGCCUUUGUAUCCUUUAUUCAAACACUCUUUUUAUAAGAUUAUUUUUUUAUUUUAUAUUUUUACUUUAUAUUAAUAUAAACUACGAUAGUUAUACAAAAUAAAUUAAAAAAAAAAAAAAAACACCGGUCCGACCCCUUAUGCCCGGAACCGUUCCGGUUCAAUAAUUCACCGGAUGGGCCCGGACCCGUUAAACCCGAUUUCGAAAAGGGAUUUUUUCGUUCCUAUACACUAUUUGAAGUCUUAUUACGAAAAAUGUCUAAGUUUUUGUAUUUACCCGAUCUAAACACGUUUUAGCUACAAAAUGUAUACAUUUCACCUUAAAAAGCCCACAAUUCAUUAUUAGUGCAUUCAAUCAAGGGAUUUAGUUAUAUAUUUUUCCUUUUUUCUCUCCUCUUUCCCCUUUUCUCUCCGGAUCUUCCACCCUAUAUGCCCCCACAAACAAGAGAAGAAACCAAUAACAAGUGUCAACUUACAGGUCGACAGAGUUAAGUAUGGGAACUUACAGGUCAAGAGGAAGAGACGCGUUCGACGGCGAAAUUGGAAUGUGGAUUCCGUCAAUUAACAUGUUGUCCUCUAGAAGCUAGAAGGGCGUGUGAAGUUCCAAAUUCGUCAAAUGUUAGCGAUUCCCGUUUUGGUUACCGAUUCCC
rnacentral:lncRNA from 1 species